GCAUGGACAUGAUCCUUUUUGUAGCUAGGGGAGAGCUGGCACAUGAUUUUGCAGGUGCUGAGAAUUUACAUGGGUUCAAGAAGCAACUGAGAAAGAAAAGGUAAUCCAUUAUGGGUUCCCUGCUACAGAGAUACAUUUGGCUUGAGAGAUCUCUGAAACCACACGUCUCACGGGCCUGGGAGAGUAUUCCUGUGGGGAACAUCAAAAUAUAUUCCCCUUUCUGUAGGGUCCUCCUUAGGUGUUCUCUGCUGGCUGCCGUCAACAACAGGAUGUUGCAGUAGAUGGACCUGGGGCCUGAGUGAAGGCAGCUGGGCAUACUAGAGCAUUUUAAAUGAUGGCUCUCCUAAUAAUCAUUCUUCUUUGUAUGGCAUGCUAUUUUUCAGGCAGCAUUUAUCAAUAAGCAGCAAACCACGUUAACAUGAAGGUACUACACAGUUUUAUUUUAUGUGGUCACUUCCAUGUAGGUGUAAACCAGGGAAGAUUAUCUCUGCUCUCGAAGGGCUCACAUUGCAGUGGCAGUGGCAGCCAGACUAAAAAGAGUAAACUGGCUUUUAUUUCUGCUUUAAGAUGACAGGAUCCUUUAGAAAAACAAGAAUAGGUGCUACGCAUCCAGGAGAGAAAAAGCUCUCACUCCAGCAAUUGCUCACUAGAGAUCAAGAAAUGAUACCUACAUCUUCUGGUCAAAAUGAACAGCACUUGGUGACGUCCUCCUGGCACACCUCUUGGCUCCCCCUGCCUUCAAGCCCACUUCCCUGCGCUAUAAAAGCCACAAGCCCCCUGCUUCUGCUGGGAGCAGCGUGCCCUGAGGAGCAGCCCUGCCGAGCACAGUUUUCCCUUUGGAAGAAGGCUGGUGGGCUUUGGGAUCAGGAAGAUCCAGACCUGAGGAGAUCACAGGGCCAACACAAAGGCCUGUGA
rnacentral:lncRNA from 1 species